GCUUGAUAAGCCGGUUGUGAAAGCCCCGGGCUCAACCUGGGAACGGCAUCCGGAACUGUCAGGCUAGAGUGCAGGAGAGGAAGGUAGAAUUCCCGGUGUAGCGGUGAAAUGCGUAGAGAUCGGGAGGAAUACCAGUGGCGAAGGCGGCCUUCUGGACUGACACUGACGCUGAGGUGCGAAAGCGUGGGUAGCAAACAGGAUUAGAUACCCUGGUAGUCCACGCCGUAAACGAUGUCGACUAGCCGUUGGGGUCCUCGAGACCUUUGUGGCGCAGUUAACGCGAUAAGUCGACCGCCUGGGGAGUACGGCCGCAAGGUUAAAACUCAAAUGAAUUGACGGGGGCCCGCACAAGCGGUGGAGCAUGUGGUUUAAUUCGAUGCAACGCGAAGAACCUUACCUACUCUUGACAUCGAGCGAACUUUCCAGAGAUGGAUUGGUGCCUUCGGGAACGCUCAGACAGGUGCUGCAUGGCCGUCGUCAGCUCGUGUUGUGAGAUGUUGGGUUAAGUCCCGUAACGAGCGCAACCCUUGUCCCUAUUUGCCAGCGAUUCGGUCGGGAACUCUAGGGAGACUGCCGGUGACAAACCGGAGGAAGGUGGGGACGACGUCAGGUCAUCAUGGCCCUUACGAGUAGGGCUACACACGUGCUACAAUGGUCGGUACAAUGGGCUGCAAUCUCGCGAGAGGGAGCGAAUCUCAUAAAGCCGACCUCAGUUCGGAUCGGAG
rnacentral:rRNA from 1 species